CUUUAUUAAUUUUUUAUAUAUAAUUUAUAUUAAAUAUAAAAAUAUAUUUUUUAAAUAAAAAGACGAUAAGACCCUAUUAAAUUUUACUUAUAGUUUAACUGGGGAAGUUUUAAAAAUAAAAUUUUUUAUAAAAAUAAAAAUAAAUCUAAUAAAAUUAAAAUUAAAUUAAAUUACUAUAGGGAUAACAGCAUUAUAUUUUUUAAAAGUUCAUAUUAAAAAAAAUGAUUGUGACCUCGAUGUUGAAUUAUAUUUUCUUUAUUAAUGCAAUAAUUAUAAAAGUAGAUCUGUUCGAUCUUUAAAAUAUUACAUGAUUUGAGUUCAAACCGGUGUAAACCAGGUUGGUUUCUAUCUUUUUAUAAAUUCAUAUAUAUAUGUAUAUAUAUAAAUUUUUCAAGUACGAAAGGAAAAAAAAAUUUUUAUUUUAAUUAAUUAGCAAUUAAUAUGCAUUAGAUUUAGAAUCUAAAUAAACUAUU
rnacentral:misc_RNA from 1 species